UAGGGAAUCUUCCACAAUGGACGAAAGUCUGAUGGAGCAACGCCGCGUGAGUGAAGAAGGUUUUCGGAUCGUAAAGCUCAGUUGUUGGUGAAGAAGGAUAGAGGCAGUAACUGGUCUUUAUUGACGGUAAUCAACCAGAAAGUCACGGCUAACUACGUGCCAC
rnacentral:rRNA from 1 species